rfam:Colletotrichum tofieldiae strain 0861 Ct_v4_contig64, whole genome shotgun sequence.
GGCAGAGUGCCAGAGUGGUUAAUGGGUGUGACUCGAAUUCGAAUCGCAAUCACAUGGCUUCGGCCGCAUGAGUUCAAAUCUCAUCUCUGUCG